GACGAAGGGGGCUAGCGUUGUUCGGAAUUACUGGGCGUAAAGCGAGUGUAGGUGGUUGUCCAAGUUGGAUGUGAAAGCCUUGAGCUCUACUCAAGAAAUGCAUUCAGGACUGGAUGGCUAGAGGACCGGAGAGGAUAGUGGAAUUCCCAGUGUAGUGGUGAAAUACGUAGAGAUUGGGAAGAACACCAGUGGCGAAGGCGGCUAUCUGGACGGUUUCUGACACUAAGACUCGAAAGCGUGGGGAGCAAACAGG
rnacentral:rRNA from 1 species